rnacentral:rRNA from 1 species
GGAGUAAUAGCCUACCAAGGCAAUGAUCUAUAGCUGAUCUGAGAGGAUGAUCAGCCACACUGGAACUGAGAUACGGUCCAGACUCCUACGGGAGGCAGCAGUGGGGAAUAUUGGACAAUGGGCGAAAGCCUGAUCCAGCCAUGCCGCAUGAGUGAAGAAGGCCUUUGGGUUGUAAAGCUCUUUUAGUGAGGAAGAUAAUGACGGUACUCACAGAAGAAGUCCUGGCUAACUCCGUGCCAGCAGCCGCGGUAAUACGGAGAGGGCUAGCGUUAUUCGGAAUUAUUGGGCGUAAAGGGCGCGUAGGCUGGUUAAUAAGUUAAAAGUGAAAUCCCGAGGCUUAACCUUGGAAUUGCUUUUAAAACUAUUAAUCUAGAGAUUGAAAGAGGAUAGAGGAAUUCCUGAUGUAGAGGUAAAAUUCGUAAAUAUUAGGAGGAACACCAGUGGCGAAGGCGUCUAUCUGGUUCAAAUCUGACGCUGAAGCGCGAAGGCGUGGGGAGCAAACAGGAUUAGAUACCCUGGUAGUCCACGCUGUAAACGAUGAAUGUUAAAUAUGGGAAGUUUACUU